GGCCUGUUGGUCUAGUGGUAUGAUUCUUGCUUCGGUGCGAGAGGUCCCGGUUCCAAACCGAUGAGCCC